rnacentral:rRNA from 1 species
UACGUAGGGUCCGAGCGUUGUCCGGAAUUACUGGGCGUAAAGAGCUCGUAGGCGGGACCGUAAGUCCGAGAGGAAAUCUCAAGGCUCAACUUUGGGGCUUUCUUGGAUACUGCGGUUCUUGAGGAUGAGAGAGGUAAGCAGAAUUCCCGGUGUAGCGGUGAAAUGCGUAGAUAUCGGGAGGAAUACCAGUGGCGAAGGCGGCUUACUGGCUCAUUCCUGACGCUGAGGAGCGAAAGCGUGGGGAGCAAACGGG